UAGGGAAUCUUCCGCAAUGGGCGAAAGCUUGACGGAGCAACGCCGCGUGAGUGAUGAAGGUCUUCGGAUCGUAAAACUCUGUUAUUAGGGAAGAACAAAUGUGUAAGUAACUAUGCACGUCUUGACGGUACCUAAUCAGAAAGCCACGGCUAACUACGUGCCAGCAGCCGCGGUAAUACGUAGGUGGCAAGCGUUAUCCGGAAUUAUUGGGGGUAAAGCGCGCGUAGGCGGUUUUUUAAGUCUGAUGUGAAAGCCCACGGCUCAACCGUGGAGGGUCAUUGGAAACUGGAAAACUUGAGUGCAGAAGAGGAAAGUGGAAUUCCAUGUAUAGCGGUGAAAUGCGCAGAGAUAUGGAGGAACACCAGUGGCGAAGGCGACUUUCUGGUCUGUAACUGACGCUGAUGUGCGAAAGCGUGGGGAUCAAACAGG
rnacentral:rRNA from 1 species